rnacentral:rRNA from 1 species
AGCUUAAUGAUAUUUUAUAUUAGGUUAGUCCUGCUCAAUGAGUAAUUUAAAUAGCCGCAGUACUUUGACUGUGCGAAGGUAGCAUAAUAAUUUGGCUUAUAAUUGAAGUCGGGAAUGAAUGGAUUUAUGGAUAUAUACUGUCUUACAUAAAUAUUAGUUAAUUUUCUAAGUAAGUGAAAAUUCUUACAAAAUGUUUUAUUAGACGAGAAGACCCUUGAAAUUUUAAUAAAUAUAAUAUUUUAAAAUAUUAAUGAUUUUUAUUGGGGCGAUAGAUUUACAAAAUAACUAAAUUUAUAUAUAACAAAUUAUAUUUCAAGUUUUACUAAUUUAAUUUAAAUUACUCAAGGGAUAACAGCAUAAUUUAUAAAUAAGUUUGUGACCUCGAUGUUGGACUAGGAAACUUUAAGUUUAGAAGAUUUAAAAGUUAAGUUCUGUUCGAACUAUUUUUCCUACAUG